UUUGAUGGUGGCUGUUCGCAGGGCGCCCUCGGGCGCGCCGGUCUUCUAUUCGUUCCCCGGUCUACUAACCUGCGUACAGCCGCCACCCCU
rnacentral:antisense_RNA from 1 species